rnacentral:tRNA from 1 species
GGUGGCUCAGUGGUAGAGCGCUUGCCUUGCUUGCAUGACGCCCUGGGUUCAAUUCCUCAGCACCA